rnacentral:tRNA from 1 species
CCUUCGAUAGCUCAGUUGGUAGAGCGGAGGACUGUAGUGGGUUAAUAAUGGUAGAGAUCCUUAGGUCGCUGGUUCGAAUCCGGCUCGAAGGA